UUUGCGUCGAAGGUAUACCGGUAAGGAGUGCUGGAGCGAAUAGAAGUGAGCAUGCAGGCAUGAGUAGCGAUAAUUAAUGUGAGAAUCAUUAACGCCGUAAACCCAAGGUUUCCUACGCGAUGCUCGUCAUCGUAGGGUUAGUCGGGUCCUAAGUCGAGUCCGAAAGGGGUAGACGAUGGCAAAUUGGUUAAUAUUCCAAUACCAACAUUAGUGUGCGAUGGAAGGACGCUUAGGGCUAAGGGGGCUAGCGGAUGGAAGUGCUAGUCUAAGGUCGUAGGAGGUUAUACAGGCAAAUCCGUAUAACAAUACUCCGAGAACUGAAAGGCUUUUUGAAGUCUUCGGAUGGAUAGAAGAACCCCUGAUGCCGUCGAGCCAAGAAAAGUUUCUAAGUUUAGCUAAUGUUGCCCGUACCGUAAACCGACACAGGUGGGUGGGAUGAGUAUUCUAAGGCGCGUGGAAGAACUCUCUUUAAGGAACUCUGCAAAAUAGCACCGUAUCUUCGGUAUAAGGUGUGGUUCGCUUCGUAUUAGGAUUUACUCCGAAAGCGAAGAAACUUACAACAAAGAGUCCCUCCCGACUGUUUACCAAAAACACAGCACUCUGCUAACUCGUAAGAGGAUGUAUAGGGUGUGACGCCUGCCCGGUGCUCGAAGGUUAAUUGAUGGGGUUAGCAUUAGCGAAGCUCUUGAUCGAAGCCCGAGUAAACGGCGGCCGUAACUAUAACGGUCCUAAGGUAGCGAAAUUCCUUGUCGGUUAAAUACCGACCUGCAUGAAUGGCGUAACGAGAUGGGAGCUGUCUCAAAGAGGGAUCCAGUGAAAUUGUAGUGGAGGUGAAAAUUCCUCCUACCCGCGGCAAGACGGAGAGACCCCGUGGACCUUUACUACAGCUUGACACUGCUAUUUGGAUAAGAAUGUGCAGGAUAGGUGGGAGGCUUUGAGUAUAUGACGCCAGUUGUAUAUGAGCCAUUGUUGAGAUACCACUCUUUCUUAUUUGGGUAGCUAACCAGCUUGAGUUAUCCUCAAGUGGGACAAUGUCUGGUGGGUAGUUUGACUGGGGCGGUCGCCUCCCAAAUAAUAACGGAGGCUUACAAAGGUUGGCUCAGAACGGUUGGAAAUCGUUCGUAGAGUAUAAAGGUAUAAGCCAGCUUAACUGCAAGACAUACAAGUCAAGCAGAGACGAAAGUCGGUCUUAGUGAUCCGGUGGUUCUGUGUGGAAGGGCCAUCGCUCAAAGGAUAAAAGGUACCCCGGGGAUAACAGGCUGAUCUCCCCCAAGAGCUCACAUCGACGGGGAGGUUUGGCACCUCGAUGUCGGCUCAUCGCAUCCUGGGGCUGGAGCAGGUCCCAAGGGUAUGGCUGUUCGCCAUUUAAAGCGGUACGCGAGCUGGGUUCAGAACGUCGUGAGACAGUUCGGUCCCUAUCUGCCGUGGGCGUAAGAAGAUUGAAGAGAUUUGACCCUAGUACGAGAGGACCGGGUUGAACAAACCACUGGUGUAGCUGUUGUUCUGCCAAGAGCAUCGCAGCGUAGCUAAGUUUGGAAAGGAUAAACGCUGAAAGCAUCUAAGCGUGAAGCCAACUCUAAGAUGAAUCUUCUCUAAGCUCUCUAGAAGACUACUAGUUUGAUAGGCUGGGUGUGUAAUGGAUGAAAGUCCUUUAGCUGACCAGUACUAAUAGAGCGUUUGGCUUAUCUUU
rnacentral:rRNA from 1 species